CCACCCAAGUGUUUAUUAGAAAAUAUUUGAAUAACAGAUAAAAAUAGGACAUGGAUGAUGAAUCAAGAGAAGCAAGUCUAAUACUAGAGCCAGGGUUCAUUCCUAAAGCCUUCUCUUCUCUGUCCGUAGGGCCCGGACUCCAGGGUCUGGAUCAGCAAGUCUCUGGGAGUGGGGCUGGGGCGGCCCCACUCUGAGUCCCUUCUGGUCCUGAGGGUUUAGGAUUCUGCCCAUGGUGCCGCAGGCUCAGGGCUGCCUGAGUGUGUCUCCUGUUUCUCCCAGGAAGUUGGCAAGGGCACACUUCCCAGGGUACCUGGGCGGGGGUGUUGCCCUGGUUUGACUGUUCGUGCCUCUUCCUUCUCCCAGCCCCCCAAGAUCACCGGGAACCCAGAGUCACCCUUCUGUCUGUAGGAAAGAGGUUUGUGUUGGGCUUGGGACACAAGGACCAGCAGCGUUGGGGAACUGACAGUUGGCAAGUUUGUUCACCCAUGAUUUGCUUUCCCCGAAGUGUUCAGGGUCCAAGAACACACAGCCUCCUAAGGGGCCAACUGUAGGCACCCCAUCCUGACCUGGCACUUGUCCAACUGCAGUGAACUCCCUUCUGCUCACCAAGGGUGCCUCUGUGGUCAGCAGCACCCCGGGGCUCACUGCCCAGUAACAUGGGGAGCCAGAGACUCAGGAUGCCCAGCGAACAGGUCGUGGGGUCAGGAUGGAGCAUUUGACUGCUCUCCUCUCCUCCCUUGCAGAUCACCUCCAACGAGAAGCACCUGGAGAGUCUCAGGAGCACAGGGAACCUCCUGCGGGCUCUGGAGGGGUUGGCCCUGGCCGGGGGGUCAUCAGCCAACAGCGCAGUGGCGUCCUUGGCCUUGGAGAUCCUCCAAGCUGCUGGACACUAGGCAAGAAGGCACUCAGCACAGUCACUCUGUGGCCGCCACCCCUGGCUACACACACUCCAUAGGUCACCCACAGCUCUGUGUGGGUUCAAUAAAGUCAGCUGAAUCCAGAACCUCUGGCUGAGAUGCUCUGACUCCAGCCCUAGAAAACGCACCCAGAACGAGCCUUCUCAGUGCCUGUUGGAUGCAUCUGGGAACCCCAGGUUUGCUAGAUGUUCUCAGAAUGCUCUCCCCAUGUGUGGGCCAGGUAGGCCUCUGCUCAUCAAGGUGGAGGGAAGCUGUGGGCAUCUCCCAGCCUAUGUCUCCUCCAAAGACUUACCAGGUGGGACGAUAUAGGAAUGCUGUUCCAGCUACAGAUCUAGAGCAAGCCUUUGGAAGCUUGUUUUUACCUGCCUGGCUUUUCAUUUCAGGAAUGAACUGAUUCUAAGAAUCCUGGGGAGAUAUGGGCAAGACUCCACUCACAGGAGCCGGUAGUUAAAACUUUGCCUAAAGGAAUGCAGAAUGCUCAAGGAAUGCUGGCUUCCUUGCAGGUCUGUCUGCUCACCCAGGUGGGAUGAAGGCAUCAAGGUAGACUCCUCCC
rnacentral:lncRNA from 1 species